UUUAUCAUUCAGUGGCUGUGCAGAAGGAUUGUAAGAAGAAAGUCAUGGGUUUGAAGGUUGAUUCAGAUACCUGGGCUUGGGAUCAAGAUCUAUUAACAGAUAUGGCUUUUCAGUUUUAUAAGAAUUUGUAUUUGGAAGAAGGUGGUGGUGAUCUAUCUUGUCUAACUAGUGCUUAUUUUCCUUCUUUAUCUGAGCAUCAUUUGGAAGGUUUGAACGAACAAUUUUCUAUGGAUGAGAUUAAAUUUGCUUUAUUCUCUAUCGAUCCUUACAAGGCCCCUG
rnacentral:misc_RNA from 1 species